CUCUUCCAGAUCGGGUCCCGGUUUCGGACCCAGCGUGCCCGCCCUACCUGAGACGAUCACUUGAUCUCGUCUCCCUCAUUUUGGCCACUAGAUGGCCUGCUGCAGCCCGUGUCGGCUGUUAUGGCCCCUCUCCCCAUCAAGUUAAACUUAGCCGGACAUUUCUCUCUUCAGUAGGUAUCUCCAUUCAGUUAAUUACGUUAUCAUGCACGUGAACAUUUCUUCACCAGAAUGCAUUUUAUUUAAUUUAACAACCUUAAAUGGAACAGGCGACGAAACACUGCAAAGUUAUUGCUAGUCGCCGCAAAAAGAAAAAACAAGAAUGCAAUUAUGAGGCAAUCGUGUCACCUAUUUAGGAACAGUGUAGCCACGCAAAUACUUAUAACCGGGUAUGUCACGAUAAUCAGUCGUGCAACAGGUAGUUGAUAUAUAUAUAUAUUAAAUCGCUUAAUUCUUCCUUACCCUACCUGAAGAGCUCUCUGGGGGUGGUAAGGGACGAUAGAAAGGGGUAAUUCAAGUUAGGCGGAUAUGCAUAACCUUUCGCACUCUAAAGUGGAGCUUGGCGUAAGUGCCUAUGGAGCACAAUCAGGAGUCAACGUCUGACUCUGCCAAAUCCUGGCCUUUGGGGUGACUUCGUGGGCCUCUCUGUUGCGAGAGCUGGUCCCGUCGUUGCCGGAGCCGUUUAUUUUGUUAAUAGUCUUAUGAUUUUUGUUUGUUCGUCUCGUGUCGCACGUAAGUUUUAAGUUUUUCCAAAUUUGGUAUAUUUUGACACAAUGUUUAAAUUUAGAUUUUAUUAACAAACGGCACAGAAUAUAA